AUUGAACGCUGGCGGCAUGCUUUACACAUGCAAGUCGAACGGCAGCGCGGGCUUCGGCCUGGCGGCGAGUGGCGAACGGGUGAGUAAUGCAUCGGAACGUGCCCAGUAGUGGGGGAUAGCCCGGCGAAAGCCGGAUUAAUACCGCAUACGACCUGAGGGUGAAAGCGGGGGACCGAAAGGCCUCGCGCUAUUGGAGCGGCCGAUGUCGGAUUAGCUAGUUGGUGGGGUAAAGGCUUACCAAGGCGACGAUCCGUAGCUGGUCUGAGAGGACGACCAGCCACACUGGGACUGAGACACGGCCCAGACUCCUACGGGAGGCAGCAGUGGGGAAUUUUGGACAAUGGGGGCAACCCUGAUCCAGCCAUGCCACGUGCGAGAAGAAGGCCUUCGGGUUGUAAACCGCUUUUGUUCGGGAAGAAAUCCUCUGGGCUAAUACCCCGGGGGGAUGACGGUACCGGAAGAAUAAGCACCGGCUAACUACGUG
rnacentral:rRNA from 1 species